rnacentral:lncRNA from 1 species
ACCUGAUUUGAAGAUUGGAAGGUGAAGUUGUCUUUGGAAAUGGGAGGAUUAAGCUUAAGUGCUGAAUUUUUGGGUUAUAAUGUAAUUUUUGGUGUGUUGAUGUUCAGAUCUUUGAGGAGGUUUACUGCUGGUCCAGUGGUGAAUACAGCAGAGAUUUCCGGUGUUAUCGUGACCCUCUUGCUGCCGUGGAGUUGCGCGAGAGGUGGGUUGAAUUGUUAAGCUACUGGAAUUAUCAGAUUUUCUUCUAAGUUAUAGUUGUCGGCAUGUAUAUUGGUUAUUGUUAUCCUGUUAGAUAGCUCAAUUAGUGGAUUUGCAUGUUUAUUGGAAUAUGAAAUUGGAGCUUAAAUGUUAGUUAAAUAAACAUGUUGGACUGAGAUUUGACUUAGGAGAAAAUUAACGAUUCUAUACCAUCAUAUGUUUAAAUUACUAGAUUUAGCUCUAGGAGCCAUAGUUUAUUGGUAUCACCGCAGGUUGUGGGCGGUGGAUACCCAGGAUAGUAUAGAAUGUAUUUUCGUUCGUGCUGGGAUGCCGAGCUUAUUUUUAUAGUAGUAUUUAGACUGUUUUGGUCUGUUGGGUGCCGUUGAGGUUGACGGUGGAUCCGGAUUGCUGUUUUUGCAUCAGAUUGUGCUGAGAGCACAUGAGUUUGGUUG